AUUGAACGCUGGCGGCAGGCCUAACACAUGCAAGUCGAACGAGUGGCGGACGGGUGAGUAAUGUCUGGGAAACUGCCUGAUGGAGGGGGAUAACUACUGGAAACGGUAGCUAAUACCGCAUACCAUCAGAUGUGCCCAGAUGGGAUUAGCUAGUUGGUGGGGUAACGGCUCACCAAGGCGACGAUCCCUAGCUGGUCUGAGAGGAUGAUCAGUCAAACUGGACCUGAGACCCGGUCCAGACUCCUACGGGAGGCAGCAGUGGGGAUUAUUGGACAAUGGGCGAAGGCCUACUCCAGCCAGGCCGCGUGUGUGAAGAAGGUCUUCGGAUUGUAAAGCCUUUUAAGUUGGGAGGCGGUACCAACAGAAUAAGCACCGGCUAACUUCGUGCCAGCCGCCGCGGUAAUUC
rnacentral:rRNA from 1 species